rnacentral:lncRNA from 1 species
CUCGGAACACCUAGAAUUACAAGUGACUAGGAGAGCUUAACUGAGCUCACAACCUCGUUCUCUUCUGUGAUCUAUAAAUAUAGAACUCUACUCACCAACUAUGUUCUCUUUUAUGUCGGCAUACCCCCAGCCCCUCAGGAUCUACGCUCAGAGGAAAAGAGAACUGGAGGCCAACUCAGCAGCCAGCCACUCAGACACUGUGAAGAUAAAAGAAAACAAAAAACAAAAACAGGACAAAUGAUCGGUCACCAAGAUCUACCAUGGGACUGCACUGCCUUGGGGACUAUUGACAAAUGCACAAUGUAAUGGAUAAAAUUCACUAAGAUGGAACACCAUCAUGCAUAAAUGCAGAAAAUGGGUAAUAGAUGUGCUGUGCCCUCAGGGUGCCUCCCACCCACAGACUUCAGAGGAUGCCUCCAACACUGAGCCACAGACAACAUGAAUGAAGGUACAGAUUACAGCUGUAACUUCAUUAAAAAGAUCUGGUGGUGUAGAAGCAAUAGAGAGAUGUGACCAGAAAGCACAGCAUGGCUUCAUGAUGAGGUGUUCUCGUCUCCUGGCUCUGGAUCCACAGCAGCAGCUGAGGUGCUACACAACCAUGUUCAAGCAGAUCACAGGUCCAUCUACAUGGGUUUUAGAAAAAUAUUUGAGGAAGAAACCAUAGUGACUCUGGAUGACAUGAAAAGUAAGCGAAGCCUGUGACCCAUGGGUCAAGUCAGUUGCCUGCUUCUGUAAAUAAAAUUUUGUUGAACACAGCCA